rnacentral:rRNA from 1 species
GACGAACGCUGGCGGCAUGCCUAAUACAUGCAAGUCGAGCGAACAGAUGAAGUGCUUGCGCUUCUGACGUUAGCGGCGAACGGGUGAGUAACACGUAAGGAAUCCACCUAUAAGCGGGGGAUAACAUUCGGAAACGGGUGCUAAUACCGCAUAAUAUCUUCUUCCGCAUGGAAGAAGAUUGAAAGACGGCUCUGCUGUCACUUAUAGAUGACCUUGCGGUGCAUUAGUUAGUUGGUGGGGUAAUGGCUUACCAAGACGAUGAUGCAUAGCCGACCUGAGAGGGUGAUCGGCCACAUUGGGACUGAGACACGGCCCAAACUCCUACGGGAGGCAGCAGUAGGGAAUCUUCCGCAAUGGGCGUAAGCCUGACGGAGCAAUGCCGCGUGAGUGAAGAAGGCCUUCGGGUCGUAAAACUCUGUUAUAAGAGAAGAACAAAUUGUAGAGUAACUGCUACAGUCUUGACGGUAUCUUAUCAGAAAGCCACGGCUAACUACGUGCCAGCAGCCGCAGUAA